rnacentral:rRNA from 1 species
CCUACGGGAGGCAGCAGUGAGGAAUAUUGGUCAAUGGGCGCGAGCCUGAACCAGCCAAGUCGCGUGAAGGAUGACUGCCCUACGGGUUGUAAACUUCUUUUGUAAAGGAAUAAAGUGAAGCACGUGUGCGUGUUUGACUGUACUGUAAUAACAAGGAUAGGCUAACUCCGUUCCAGCAGCCGCGGUAAUACGGGGGAUCCGAGCGUUAUCCGGAUUUAUUGGGUUUAAAGGGAGCGUAGGUGGGUUGUUAAGUCAGGUGUGAAAGUUUGCGGCUCAACCGUAGAAUUGCAGUUGAUACUGGCGGUCUUGAGUGCAGAUGAGGUAGGCGGAAUUCGUGGUGUAGCGGUGAAAUGCUUAGAUAUCACGAAGAACACCGAUUGCGAAGGCAGCUUACUGGACUGCAACUGACGUUGAGGCUCGAAAGUGUGGGUAUCAAACAGGAUUAGAUACCCUAGUAGUC